CUGCCCGCCCGGUUCGCUCGCCCUUGGUUCCCACUCCCAGGUGGCUGCAGACUGGGGGGUGUUUCAUGGACGAGCAACCUCCCUGAGGAGAACCCCGGAUACGCAGGUUCAUUCGCCAGAUGCGAGUUUUCUUAAGCCGCUGCGAUUCUCUAAUUUCAGUAUGAACUCGAGUCACCAGUAAAAUGAGCAUUCAUUCAUUAAGCCAAUCAUCAGGAAUAGAUCUAGGAAGAACCUACUGUUUACUAGAAAUAGGUUAGAUCUGUGGAUAUAACAAUGAAUAAGACAAGACUGGUGGAUCUAUAGAGAAACUAUUACUGCACAGGUGAUGGGGAAAUCAAGAGUACUAUGGGGCCAAGGAGACUGUCCUGCAGCAAAUGAGGAAUAAGCUGAAACAUCAGUAGGAGCCAUCCCAGAGAAAAGGGACAGGGUUCUAGAUCCAGAGAACAACAGAAGAGCAUUCAGCGCCUGCAAGGGAGCAGGGGAUCUAAUGCAAAGCCAUUGCGUAACCAGUCAACUUUCCCCACAUCACAAGAUUGCCUAGCCUGGAUGGUCCCAGAAUGUUGAAACAAAUGUCUAAUUAGUAACGACAUUCUGAAUGCUUGGGAGCUGAGCAAAAUAUGAGGAGAAGCAACCUGAUUUUUGUUUCAUAUUAUCAUCUCCUUUAUUCCAGCAACAAAAGACACUGAAAAUAGUAAAUGCCCACUUUCAACCAUGACAGCCCUUUUAGGAUAGUAACGGCAUUCCAUAUGAGGACAUCUGUCCCCACCCCUGGAUGAAAACUUGGGUGAUCCCGAAAUUUUUCUGAUUGCUCACAGGUAAUAAAAAUCAUUUGGUCAGUUUAAA
rnacentral:lncRNA from 1 species